UGGGGAAUAUUGGACAAUGGGCGAAAGCCUGAUCCAGCCAUGCCGCGUGUGUGAAGAAGGUCUUCGGAUUGUAAAGCACUUUAAGUUGGGAGGAAGGGCAGUAAGUUAAUACCUUGCUGUUUUGACGUUACCGACAGAAUAAGCACCGGCUAACUCUGUGCCAGCAGCCGCGGUAAUACAGAGGGUGCAAGCGUUAAUCGGAAUUACUGGGCGUAAAGCGCGCGUAGGUGGUUCGUUAAGUUGGAUGUGAAAGCCCCGGGCUCAACCUGGGAACUGCAUCCAAAACUGGCGAGCUAGAGUAUGGUAGAGGGUGGUGGAAUUUCCUGUGUAGCGGUGAAAUGCGUAGAUAUAGGAAGGAACACCAGUGGCGAAGGCGACCACCUGGACUAAUACUGACACUGAGGUGCGAAAGCGUGGGGAGCAAACA
rnacentral:rRNA from 1 species